rnacentral:rRNA from 1 species
UCAACGGAGAGUUUGAUCCUGGCUCAGGACGAACGCUGGCGGCGUGCUUAACACAUGCAAGUCGAACGGUGACGAGGAGCUUGCUCCUCUGAUCAGUGGCGAACGGGUGAGUAACACGUGAGUAACCUGCCCCAGACUCUGGGAUAACAGUUGGAAACAGCUGCUAAUACCGGAUACGAGACGGAGAGGCAUCUCUACCGUCUGGAAAGUUUUUCGGUCUGGGAUGGACUCGCGGCCUAUCAGCUUGUUGGUGAGGUAAUGGCUCACCAAGGCGACGACGGGUAGCCGGCCUGAGAGGGCGACCGGCCACACUGGGACUGAGACACGGCCCAGACUCCUACGGGAGGCAGCAGUGGGGAAUAUUGCACAAUGG